rnacentral:rRNA from 1 species
AGUGAACGCUGGCGGUAGGCCUAACACAUGCAGGUCGAACGGCAGCACAGUAAGAGCUUGCUCUUACGGGUGGCGAGUGGCGGACGGGUGAGGAAUACAUCGGAAUCUACUUUUUCGUGGGGGAUAACGUAGGGAAACUUACGCUAAUACCGCAUACGACCUACGGGUGAAAGCAGGGGAUCUUCGGACCUUGCGCGAUUGAAUGAGCCGAUGUCGGAUUAGCUAGUUGGCGGGGUAAAGGCCCACCAAGGCGACGAUCCGUAGCUGGUCUGAGAGGAUGAUCAGCCACACUGGAACUGAGACACGGUCCAGACUCCUACGGGAGGCAGCAGUGGGGAAUAUUGGACAAUGGGCGCAAGCCUGAUCCAGCCAUACCGCGUGGGUGAAGAAGGCCUUCGGGUUGUAAAGCCCUUUUGUUGGGAAAGAAAAGCAGCAGGUUAAUACCCCGCUGUUCUGACGGGACCCAAAGAAUAAGCACCGGCUAACUUCGC